rnacentral:ncRNA from 1 species
AAACCAGUCUCGUAAGGCUUGGAUACGGUUGCUCCUAUGUAAGUAGGUGAUACUCCGUCGGCGUAAGCCCGCUUGGCGCGACAAGCGUGAACGGUGAGAAUCGACCCCCAAGGUGAGCUGGUUU